rnacentral:sRNA from 1 species
UAUCCUUUUCCGCAUUUAGUAAAACCCCACCCAGAGUGCAUUGCAUGGCCAUGAAAAACCGGUAUUUUCUAUCUGUGAAUGAAUCAC